rnacentral:rRNA from 1 species
UACAGAGGUCUCAAGCGUUGUUCGGAUUCAUUGGGCGUAAAGGGCUCGUAGGCGGCCAACUAAGUCAGACGUGAAAUCCCUCGGCUUAACCGGGGAACUGCAUCUGAUACUGGAUGGCUUGAGUUCGGGAGAGGGAUGCGGAAUUCCAGGUGUAGCGGUGAAAAUGCGUAGAUAUCUGGAGGAACACCGGUGGCGAAGGCGGCAUCCUGGACCGACACUGACGCUGAGGAGCGAAAGCCAGGGGAGCAAACGGGG